UUUUUUUUUUUUUUUUUUACAGUAAAUAUGUGCAAAUUUACAAUUCCUGUAAACUGGAGCCUGUUGACGUCUCCAGACCAAAGCUCAAGAAGUGCACCAUGGUCUUCAAAGGCUUUUUGAUUUUUCGGGAAUCCCAUGUGAUGAAGAUUAAUCUGAAAUGUAACACUAUGAAGGAAAGCAUUUUCUACAGGCCAGCUUGUUACAUAAAGCUGAAUCCUCCGUCCAAACCAGAUGUCAACUUUACCACAGUUUCUAACUUGACCACCGUUUCUU